rnacentral:rRNA from 1 species
GGGGGGGGGGGGGGGGGGGGUGGGGGCGGGGAGGGGGAGCGGGAGGGCGCGGCGGUUGUGGGGUGCUCGGGUGGCGAACGGGUGGGGAACACGUGAGUAGCCUGCCCUGGACUUUGGGAUAACUUCAGGAAACUGGGGCUAAUACCGGAUCGGAUCUCCUGCUGCAUGGUGGGGGUUGGAAAGUUUCGGCGGUUGGGGAUGGACUCGCGGUGUAUCAGCUUGUUGGUGGGGUAGUGGCUUACCAAGGCUUUGACGGGUAGCCGGCCUGAGAGGGUGACCGGCCACAUUGGGACUGAGAUACGGACAAGACUCCUACGGGAGGCAGCAGUGGGGAAUAUUGCACAAUGGGCGGAAGCCUGAUGCAGAAACGCCGCGUGCGGGAUGACGGCCUUCGGGUUGUAAACCGCUUUCGCCUGUGACGAAGCGUGAGUGACGGUAAUGGGUAAAGAAGCACCGGCUAACUACGUG